rfam:Trichobilharzia regenti genome assembly, scaffold: TRE_scaffold0013320
GUAUUGCUGAAGAGUCCCAAACCAAGACGAAACAGCUGUCCAGUAC